UAAUAUCUAUUGUCUAUCAACAAAGUUUGAAAUAGCUAUAUUGUCAGUUACUACAGCGAUAGCAGUGCUGGCAAAUCACAUUUUUAACUCAGAAAAGUUAGCAUUCCUUUCCAACUGGCAUGUGGUUUUAACGUUGACCCUAACAGUAUUUUGUUUCAGGCUUAAAACUAAAUGCAGUGCCGCUAUUGUAAAUUUACACAUCUGCAGCAAGACAUCCUGCUUACUGUAAGCACUACAGGCUUCAUCAUUGGCAAGCAGACCACAGAUCUAACUACUUAUAGACGGUCUGCUGUUCUUCAUGGUCUUCCCCUGUACUUAAGAGAGCCAUCUGCAAUUUCAAAGACUAUUAAGGAUACUGACUGAAGCACUGGGGCCACACACAAAAGCCAUGAACAUGGGGAUCCUGGAAGUACUGACAGUUCUACCAACUCAGGACCAUAUCCCACAGUGGUCAAUGUGGCUGUAGUACUGGAGGAGGAAGUUGUCAUGGACAAUCUGGGAGACUUCCCAAAUGCCCUCAUGAUGCUCUUUGGUCUGCUUUAUGCUCUAAAUAUGGAGUACCCUAAGGACUUAAGGUACACAUUCGAGGCAGUCCAGACGAUUCUCUUAAACCUGGGGAAAAGUGCACAGCAAGGAUACAGUCCUUGAAGAAAGAGUUAUUACAGGUGUAAUGGUCAUUACAGUACAUGUUAAUUGCCAGUCAUUGAGGUAUUUUGAGGUAUCAAAGGUUUCAUGCAAAUGUUUCUGUUAAAUGGCAGUGACUUUUUGGGGGCCAAGCAGCGAAGCUGCGAAGGCACCCAUUGUGUUUCUAUGAU